CACUGUAGUCCAUGCACCAAGCCCACAAGAUGUUUCUCAAGGUCACUGUAGUCCAUGCACCAAGCCCACAAGAUGUUUCUCCAGGUCACUGUAGUCCAUGCACCAAGCCCACAAGGAGUUUCUCCAGGUCACUGUAGUCCAUGCACCAAGCCCACAAGAUGUUUCUCCAGGUCACUGUAGUCCAUGCACCAAGCCCACAAGAUGUUUCUCCAGGUCACUGUAGUCCAUGCACCAAGCCCACAAGAUGUUUCUCCAGGUCACUGUAGUCCAUGCACCAAGCCCACAAGAUGUUUCUCCAGGUCACUGUAGUCCAUGCACCAAGCCCACAAGAUGUUUCUCCAGGUCACUGUAGUCCAUGCACCAAGCCCACAAGAUGUUUCUCAGGUCACUGUAGUCCAUGCACCAAGCCCACAAGAUGUUUCUCCAGGUCACUGUAGUCCAUGCACCAAGCCCACAAGAUGUUUCUCCAGGUCACUGUAGUCCAUGCACCAAGCCCACAAGAUGUUUCUCCA